UACGGAGGGUGCAAGCGUUAUCCGGAUUCACUGGGCGUAAAGGGUGCGUAGGCGGGUCUUUAAGUCAGGGGUGAAAUCCUGGAGCUCAACUCCAGAACUGCCUUUGAUACUGAAGAUCUUGAGUUCGGGAGAGGUGAGUGGAACUGCGAGUGUAGAGGUGAAAUUCGUAGAUAUUCGGAAGAACACCAGUGGCGAAGGCGACUUACUGGACGACUGUUGACGCUGAGGUGCGAAAGCGUGGGGAGCAAACAGG
rnacentral:rRNA from 1 species